CACUGAGUUAUUAUGCUGAAACAUGACCUAAGCAAGUUUCAGGUUUAUUUUCUCUGUCCAGAGUUAAUAAAUAGAGGAGGUAGGAAGACAGUGUAUUCUUCAGGGAUCUCUUAGUUUGCUCAAAACUGAGUAGUGCUGUUAUUCAAAUGGGGACACUGAGAAUGCAUCUGAGAUCUGACCAGGGGAACUAUGGUAAAAGUGAAGACUGAAUUCAGCGAAAUGAAUUUUGGAAUUGAAAGAUUUUUUCAUUCUGCUGCAGCAAAGGAAGAAUUAAAAAUAAAGCAAAAAAAUCAACAACUUGCCUCGCCAUAAAUAUGAACAACCACUUUCAUGAUCCAAGGCUCUAUAGUAUGUCCCAUACUAUAAGCCAGGACUGUGUGUAAGGACAGCCAUCACAAGCCAUGGUAGUUAAGACAAGAAAAAGACUUAAAAUAAAAACACAAUGAAGAUGAAAAUAAAAGUUAAGCUGUGAAACAAACACUCCAUGUGCUUACUCUUAAUCAACUAAAUGACUUCUGCAAGUAAUAUAUUUAAACUGUCUCUCCCUUCUGACAGCAUUUCCCACUAUUAUGUUCAGCUUAUCAACUUAUUCAAAAUCUUCACCUUCAUAUUAAUCGAAAACUU